rnacentral:rRNA from 1 species
UUGGAGGGCAAGUCUGGUGCCAGCAGCCGCGGUAAUUCCAGCUCCAAUAGCGUAUAUUAAAGUUGUUGCAGUUAAAAAGCUCGUAGUUGAACUUCAGACCUGACCGGGCGGUCCGCCUAACGGUGUGUACUGUCUGGCCGGGCCUUACCUCUUGGUGAGCCGGCAUGCCCUUCACUGGGUGCGUCGGGGAACCAGGACCUUUACCUUGAGAAAAUUAGAGUGUUCAAAGCGGGCUUACGCCGGAAUACAUUAGCAUGGAAUAAUAAAAUAGGACGUGCGGUUU